rnacentral:tRNA from 1 species
GCGCCGGUGGUGUAAUGGCGUAGAGCAUUCCCGCCCGGUUAGAGGGAGGUGCGGGUUCGAGCCCCGCCUGGCGCU